rnacentral:lncRNA from 1 species
AAUAAUACGUUUACCACUGAAGGUUUGGUAUUAUUACGGGACAAAAUACCUCCAUUGACUCCCCUCAACAGGACAUCCUAAUAGCAAGUUCCCAGUCUCGGGAUCCUCGGAUUGAGCAGCGAGAAUACGCCCACCAGAGCUAACAUAAUCACGUCUCGGAGGAGAGGCCUCGACUGAGUUCUCGGGAAAUGGUCACCAGAGUCGACGAUUUCUAG